rnacentral:rRNA from 1 species
UACGGAGGGUGCGAGCGUUGUUCGGAAUUACUGGGCGUAAAGCGCGUGUAGGCGGCCCUGCAAGUCGGGUGUGAAAUCCCACGGCUCAACCGUGGAAGUGCACUCGAAACUGCAGGGCUAGAGUCCUGGAGAGGAAGGUGGAAUGCUUGGUGUAGAGGUGAAAUUCGUAGAUAUCAAGCGGAACACCGGUGGCGAAGGCGGCCUUCUGGACAGUGACUGGACGCUGAGACGGCGAAA